rnacentral:rRNA from 1 species
GCGCAGCAGUCGCGAAACCUCCGCAAUACACGAAAGUGUGACGGGGCCAUCCCGAGUGCCGUCCGCUGAGGACGGCUUUUCCCCAGUGUACACAGCUGGGGGAAUAAGGAGAGGGCAAGCCUGGUGUCAGCCGCCGCGGUAAUACCAGCUCUCCGAGUGGUGGGGACGCUUAUUGGGCCUAAAGCAUCCGUAGCCGGCUGGGCAAGUCCUCCGUUAAAUCCAACGAUUCAAUCGUUGGGCUGCGGGGGAUACUGUCCAGCUUGGGGGCGGGAGAGGCCGACGGUAUUCCCGGGGUAGGGGUGAAAUCCUAUAAUCCCGGGAGGACCACCAGUGGCGAAGGCUGUCGGCUAGAACGCGCCCGACGGUGAGGGAUGAAAGCUGGGGGAGCGAACCGGAUUAGAUACCCCUGUAGU